UUCCUCUCUCUCUCUCUCUCUUACUCGCUUCGAACCCCAAGGCCUUGACAGUAGACUCUCUCUCUCUCUCUCAACUGUAGAUUUCUUGUGGGUUUGGUGCUGUGAGCGUUUGUGGGAGUUCUUGGAGUUCUGAGUUGCCGAUCGGUGUUCGUGGUUUUAGGGAUUUUUCCUACGUUUUGUGUGAUUUUGGUUUGCUGCUGAGAAUCUCUCACAGCGCGUUGCCUUCAAAUAGAGGUGAGGAUCUGCAGACAAAAGUGCUUGCUCGAGCUCUAUGGUCCAAAGGUAAACUAGAUACACUAAUAUAUGACAAUUGCUUAAAUUAUUUAGAUCCCUAUAGUUGUAAAAUGAAGGUAAGGCAACAUUUGGUUGUGCUUCCUUAAAUGUUGCAUCAAAUUCUUGUGUGCUUACAUGGAUUUUUCAGUUUGUGAAUGCCUUGGGGGGUUUUUCAAUUUUUCAUAUUGUGAUGUACGACCUCGCAGUAAGUUUUGAAGAUAAGUGGACAUUGUUCGAGUGCAUUUGGUUGAACCUUAUGCUAAUACAGAGGCUCUUGAUUAAAAAUGCGUGCUUGUUGUGAACUUCAUCAUCUCCAUGGCCUGUUAGAGUUGUAAUUUGACAAUGACUAUUAGAUAGAAACAGGAAAGAAGAAAAAUGAAUAUACCUUGUUAUGUGUGAUCAAUUCUAGAAAAUCCUCAUAUUAUGUCUACAACUAUUUCUAAUUGGUGGUGGGAAAUUUAAACUUAAAAACUAUAAUCUUGCCAUGAUUAGGAAAAGAAAAUGCCCACACAAAAUAUAAUUCUUAGGCAUUGACAUAAGUAACUUUGAACCUUUCAUUAUUCACAUUGCCAUGCUAGAUUUAAACCUUUCAGUAACUUUGACUCUUCACCCAUAAAUACAGACAGAAAAUCAGUAGUUACCUGAAAGCUGAACAUGAAUUGUCUUGUGUUCUUACUUACUUACACAUUUGGGUGAGAUUGAAACUUCUCAUACAU